UCGUAGCGCUGCCGCGGAUAGAAACAGACACGGAACUUACUUUGUGGACGACCCUUGUAUAUUAAAAGUGUUCUAUCUCGGAAACUAUUCAGAAUACGGAAUAUAUCCACAUUAAGUGUUUUGCUCAGAAUUGAUAAUGUUACUACCUCCUCCUGACUCAUCUUGUGUGCCUAUGUGUGUGUGUGUGUGUGAGAGAGAGAGAGAGAGAGAGAGAUUUUGUGAUAGAUGCUCAGUUACUGGGAAACACUGACUCUUGCUUUGGGCUGCAUGCUGCACACAGGGGGCGGGUUGGGCAUGGAAAUGGCAAUAAAACUCUGUGACAUAUACUUUCAGUAUUCUGACCCUCAACAGCCAUACCUUUGAGACAUAAGCUGUAAUCAUUUCUGAGCUUGCUCAAGGCACAUAUUGAGUGGUACUGUUUUAGCUGUUAAUAUAAUUAAACCUUGGAAACAACGCAGAGUAAGUUUGGCAACUCUGUGAGCAACGAGUUACUUCCUGGAUGGUACUGAAUUCAAAUGGUUCAAAUGGCUCUGAGCACUAUGGGACUCAACUGCUGUGUUCAUCAGUCCCCUAGAACUUAGAACUACUUAAACCUAACUAACCUAAGGACAUCACACACAUCCAUGCCCGAGGCAGGAUUUGAACCUGCGACCGUAUCAGUCGCACGGUUCCGGACUGCGCGCCUAGAACCACGAGACCACCGCGGCCGGCGGUACAGAAUUGUCCUGGUCAGAGUUGAGAAAAAAUUUCAACUGGAUCAGCAUAAAAAGACAUCUCAGCACCAGAACAACAUAAACAAGACAUGCUUAAAAACUUCACUGCAAUCAUUGAUCUCCUCAUUUUCGAAGCAUGUGAAUGACAAAAAAGAGUGCAAUGAAGAUCUUUGCGAGGCUUUUAAAAAAUCAAGCAUCCCCUUGAAUAUGCUGGAGAAUGUAGGAUUAAGGAAAAAGUACACAGGGAAAGAUAUUCCUCAUGGGUCAAUGCUCAGCAAGCACUAUGUGACCCAAUGUAUGAAAAGAAAUUGGAGAAUAUUAGGAAAGACAUUGGCGAUUCUCCAGUCUGUCCAUCCGACAUCGAAACCACUGAUUCUUGCAGUCGGUAUAUGGUGCAUGUCAUAGUUGGAAAACUCUCUGCUGACGAGGAUGCCUCAUACUGUCCAAAGAACUGGAACAAAUUACACAUGCCACGAUUGCACGCACAGUGCUGGAACCAUUGUGCGUGCUAUGGAGAAGUGAAGAUCAGAAACGUGGGGAGAACAAGGUUUUGGCCAUUGUGACAGAUAGUGCUGCAUAUAUGCUAGAGGCCGCAGAAUUUCUCUGGGUGUUUUACCCUAAAAUUAUUCAUCUAACGUGUCUGGUUCAUGGCGUCCAUUGAGUCACUGAAGAGGUCAUUGCCAGAGGUCAACAGCCUUAUAACCUUGGCAAAGAACUUUUUCAUCAAUUCGAGAGAGAGCUUUCAAGGCUGCUCACGGUGACUGUCCUCUGCCACCUGAACCGGUCUUGAUGAGGUGGGGAACGUGGAUUUCAGUUGCAAACUAUUAUGCAGACAACCACAGAAAAGUUGACGAGGUCCCAAAGAUAGCGAAAAAUCAGCCAUACCAAAAGCCAAGAGUGCCCUGAAGAAUUCCAGCUUGUUACACAUCCUAUCUUUCAUCCGAGCAAACUUAGGUGGCCCUCCAGACCUAACUGAGAAACUUAAGACUCGUAACAUGGAAGUUAUGAAGCACUCAUUGAUGGACUCAGGACCCAGAGCAAGAGUUGGAAAGGUCUGAUCGGUGAGAGACUUAAAAGAAUAUUGGAUGCAGUUUUUCACAGAAAUCCUGGUUGGCCUACAAUUUGGAAGAUUGCUCAGUUACUGGAAGGAGAGAAACGCUCCAAGAAUCUAUAUGAUUUCACAUUAUCUGAUGUCGCUGCUCUUAAAUUUUUACUCGUAGUGUCAUGUGAAGCUGCAUGAUCAUUUUCGAGAUUGAAAAUGUUAUCAUCUGCCCACAAAAAAAAUUUAAUGUAGAGAAUAUGGAAAAUAUUUUGGUACUUCAAACAUACUCUAAUUAUUACAAUUUACCAAACUUACUGUGUAAGUACUAUGUUAUACUUCAUUUUAAUCAUUGAAUUACAACCAUUAU